rnacentral:rRNA from 1 species
AUUGAACGCUGGCGGCAGGCCUAACACAUGCAAGUCGAACGGUAGCACAGAGAGCUCGCUCUCGGGUGACGAGUGGCGGACGGGUGAGUAACGUCUGGGAAACUGCCCGAUGGAGGGGGAUAACUACUGGAAACGGUAGCUAAUACCGCAUAACGUCGCAAGACCAAAGUGGGGGACCUUCGGGCCUCACACCAUCGGAUGUGCCCAGAUGGGAUUAGCUAGUAGGUGGGGUAAUGGCUCACCUAGGCGACGAUCCCUAGCUGGUCUGAGAGGAUGACCAGCCACACUGGAACUGAGACACGGUCCAGAAUCCUACGGGAGGCAGCAGUGGGGAAUAUUGCACAAUGGGCGCAAGCCUGAUGCAGCCAUGCCGCGUGUAUGAAGAAGGCCUUCGGGUUGUAAAGUACUUUCAGCGGGGAGGAAGGCGGUGAAGUUAAUAACUUCACCGAUUGACGUUACCCGCAGAAGAAGCACCGGCUAACUCCGUGCCAGCCGCCGCAGUAA